GAUGAAGAACGCAGCGAAAUGCGAUAAGUAAUGUGAAUUGCAGAAUUCAGUGAAUCAUCGAAUCUUUGAACGCACAUUGCGCCCCUUGGUAUUCCGGGGGGCAUGCCUGUUCGAGCGUCAUUAUAACCCUCAAGCCUAGCUUGGUGUUGGAGCAUGCUAUCUAGCAGCUCUUAAAAUCAGUGGCAGUGCCCUUCGGCUCUAAGCGUAGUAACUUCUCUCGCUAUGGAAACCGGAUGGUACGCGCCAAAACCCCCAACUUUCUAUGGUUGACCUCGGAUCAGGUAGGGAUACCCGCUGAACUUAAGCAUAUCAAUAAGCGGAGGA
rnacentral:misc_RNA from 1 species